rnacentral:rRNA from 1 species
UAAGGAAUAUUGGUCAAUGGACGCAAGUCUGAACCAGCCAUGCCGCGUGAAGGAUGAAGGUCCUCUGGAUUGUAAACUUCUUUUAUCUGGGACGAAAUCGGGAUUUUUAUCUCAAUUGACGGUACCAGAGGAAUAAGCACCGGCUAACUCCGUGCCAGCAGCCGCGGUAAUACGGAGGGUGCGAGCGUUAUCCGGAUUUACUGGGUUUAAAGGGUGCGUAGGUGGGCUUAUAAGUCAGUGGUGAAAUCUCCGAGCUUAACUUGGAAACUGCCGUUGAUACUAUAGGUCUUGAAUUAUCUGGAGGUAAGCGGAAUAUGUCAUGUAGCGGUGAAAUGCUUAGAUAUGACAUAGAACACCAAUUGCGAAGGCAGCUUACUACAUAUAAAUUGACGCUGAGGCACGAAAGCGUGGGGAUCAAACA